CCUACGGGAGGCAGCAGUAGGGAAUAUUGCUCAAUGGGGGAAACCCUGAAGCAGCAACGCCGCGUGGAGGAUGAAGGUUUUCGGAUUGUAAACUCCUUUUGUUAGAGAAGAUAAUGACGGUAUCUAACGAAUAAGCACCGACUAACUCCGUGCCAGCAGCCGCGGUAAUACGGAGGGUGCAAGCGUUACUCGGAAUCACUGGGCGUAAAGGGCGCGUAGGCGGGAUAGCAAGUCAGAUGUGAAAUCCUAUGGCUUAACCAUAGAACUGCAUUUGAAACUGUUAUUCUAGAGUAUGGGAGAGGUAGGUGGAAUGCUUGGUGUAGGGGUAAAAUCCGUAGAGAUCAAGAGGAAUACUCAUUGCGAAGGCGACCUGCUAGAACAUAACUGACGCUGAUGCGCGAAAGCGUGGGGAGCAAACAGGAUUAGAUACCCGGGUAGUC
rnacentral:rRNA from 1 species